rnacentral:sRNA from 1 species
UGUUGCUUCGGCGGGCCCGCCUUAACUGGCCGCCGGGGGGCUCACGCCCCCGGGCCCGCGCCCGCCGAAGACACCCUCGAACUCUGUCUGAAGAUUGUAGUCUGAGUGAAAACAUAAAUUAUUUAAAACUUUCAACAACGGAUCUCUUGGUUCCGGCAUCGAUGAAGAACGCAGCGAAAUGCGAUACGUAAUGUGAAUUGCAAAUUCAGUGAAUCAUCGAGUCUUUGAACGCACAUUGCGCCCCCUGGUAUUCCGGGGGGCAUGCCUGUCCGAGCGUCAUUACUGCCCUCAAGCCCGGCUUGUGUGUUGGGCCCCGUCCUCCGAUCCCGGGGGACGGGCCCGAAAGGCAGCGGCGGCACCGCGUCCGGUCCUCGAGCGUAUGGGGCUUUGUCACCCGCUCUGUAGGCCCGGCCGGCGCUUGCCGAUCAACCCCAAUUUUUAUAGGUUGACCUCGGAUCAGGUAGGGAUACCCGCUGAACUUAAGCAUAUCAAUAAGCGGAGGAAAAGAAACCAACAGGGAUUGCCCCAGUAACGGCGAGUGAAGCGGCAAGAGCUCAAAUUUGAAAGCUGGCUCCUUCGGGGUCCGCAUUGUAAUUUGCAGAGGAUGCUUCGGGAGCGGUCCCCAUCUAAGUGCCCUGGAACGGGACGUCAUAGAGGGUGAGAAUCCCGUAUGGGAUGGGGUGUCCGCGCCCGUGUGAAGCUCCUUCGACGACUCGAGUUGAUUGGGAAUGCAGCAUCUAAAUGGGUGGUAAAUUUCAUCUCAAGCUAAAUAUUGGCCGGAGACCGAUAGCACACAAGUAGAGUGAUCGAAAGAUGACAAGCACUUUGAAAAGAGAGUUAAAAAGCACGUGUAAAUAGUUGAAAGGGAAGCGCUUGCGACCAGACUCGGUCGCGGGGUUCAGCCGGCAUUCGUGCCGGUGUACUUCCCCGCGGGAGGGCCAGCGGCGGUU